AUUGACCUACGGGGGGCAGCAGUGAGGGAUAUUGGUCAAUGGGGGAAACCCUGAACCAGCAACGCCGCGUGAAGGAAGACGGUUUUCGGAUUGUAAACUUCUGUUCUUAGUGAAGAAAAAUGACGGUAGCUAAGGAGCAAGCCACGGCUAACUACGUGCCAGCAGCCGCGGUAAUACGUAGGUGGCAAGCGUUGUCCGGAAUUACUGGGUGUAAAGGGAGCGCAGGCGGGAAGCCAAGUCAGCUGUGAAAACUACGGGCUUAACUUGUAGACUGCAGUUGAAACUGGUUUUCUUGAGUGAAGUAG
rnacentral:rRNA from 1 species